AUGGCAUUGCUUAAAUUUAUCGGUGGCAUUAGACUGAGAGCGGCAUUAGUUAAAUGUGGCUUCACUUUAGCAGUAGCAUUGCUUGACUUGACUGCUGGCAUUAUACUAACAACAAAAAAAGUGGCAAUAAGAGCAUGGGAGGCCCAUUCAGACAGUGGGCGCACCAGUACAAUGUACCUCCACGGACGCAGAGUGGUGAGGGAGGUACGGUUGCCCAGGGCCACAAAUAUCCAGGCAGCAUAUGUGGAUUACGUCCCUUUUUUGUUCUCUUUAGCCACCUUUUCCCUAUGUGAGGACAACAAACCGAUCGACCUGGUCAUUCUCUAUUGCGUUGUCAUGCCUUUCUACCCUUCUUCAACAUGGAGACACGAGACUCGUUCCUUAGCUACUGAUUUCCCCUUUUCAACCUAG
rnacentral:rRNA from 1 species